UGGUGGAGUGAUUUGUCUGGUUAAUUCCGUUAACGAACGAGACCUUAACCUGCUAAAUAUGCCGCGCUAACUCGUCCAUCAAAACUUAUGUGUGACUCACGCGGUUCGCUGCACACUAAUGUUGCCCGUUAAACGGUGAUGUUAGGGUGCCGGCAGGGCCCGGGUUCAUAUAAGCGGUAGAGUUCGGCGUCUGUGCUUCUUAGAGGGACUGCUGCGCGCCUAGCCAGCGGAAGUUUGAGGCAAUAACA
rnacentral:rRNA from 1 species